GGGUGAGUAACACGUGGGUAACCUGCCCAUCAGAAGGGGAUAACACUUGGAAACAGGUGCUAAUACCGUAUAACAAUCAAAACCGCAUGGUUUUGAUUUGAAAGGCGCUUUCGGGUGUCGCUGAUGGAUGGACCCGCGGUGCAUUAGCUAGUUGGUGAGGUAACGGCUCACCAAGGCCACGAUGCAUAGCCGACCUGAGAGGGUGAUCGGCCACAUUGGGACUGAGACACGGCCCAAACUCCUACGGGAGGCAGCAGUAGGGAAUCUUCGGCAAUGGACGAAAGUCUGACCGAGCAACGCCGCGUGAGUGAAGAAGGUUUUCGGAUCGUAAAACUCUGUUGUUAGAGAAGAACAAGGAUGAGAGUAACUGUUCAUCCCUUGACGGUAUCUAACCAGAAAGCCACGGCUAACUACGUGCCAGCAGCCGCGGUAAUACGUAGGUGGCAAGCGUUGUCCGGAUUUAUUGGGCGUAAAGCGAGCGCAGGCGGUUUCUUAAGUCUGAUGUGAAAGCCCCCGGCUCAACCGGGGAGGGUCAUUGGAAACUGGGAGACUUGAGUGCAGAAGAGGAGAGUGGAAUUCCAUGUGUAGCGGUGAAAUGCGUAGAUAUAUGGAGGAACACCAGUGGCGAAGGCGGCUCUCUGGUCUGUAACUGACGCUGAGGCUCGAAAGCGUGGGGAGCAAACAGGAUUAGAUACCCUGGUAGUCCACGCCGUAAACGAUGAGUGCUAAGUGUUGGAGGGUUUCCGCCCUUCAGUGCUGCAGCUAACGCAUUAAGCACUCCGCCUGGGGAGUACGACCGCAAGGUUGAAACUCAAAGGAAUUGACGGGGGCCCGCACAAGCGGUGGAGCAUGUGGUUUAAUUCGAAGCAACGCGAAGAACCUUACCAGGUCUUGACAUCCUUUGACCACU
rnacentral:rRNA from 1 species